GACUGUAGAUUGUGGUGGUGGCAUUAAAGAGCAGGUGAACAGACUUCAACUUUGGAGAGUAAGAUGAAUCAAGAAUGACUCAGUUUUUCAUUUGAGUAACUUGCAGGUGGCAGUGAUGCAACUUAUCAUGAUAGGUGUUAUUGGUCUUUAAGUCCAUACUGUGGUCCCAGGAAAUAUGAGAUUGUGUUGACUUUUGUCCUAUAAUUGGAGAAGAAG
rnacentral:lncRNA from 1 species